rnacentral:siRNA from 1 species
UGGAAUGCUUGAUCCACUAGUUCC